AUUGAACGCUGGCGGCAUGCCUUACACAUGCAAGUCGAACGGCAGCACGGGAGCAAUCCUGGUGGCGAGUGGCGAACGGGUGAGUAACGCAUCGGAACGUGCCCAGUCGUGGGGGAUAGCCCGGCGAAAGCCGGAUUAAUACCGCAUACGACCUGUGGGUGAAAGCGGGGGACCUUUCGGGGCCUCGCGCGAUUGGAGCGGCCGAUGUCAGAUUAGGUAGUUGGUGGGGUAAAGGCCCACCAAGCCGACGAUCUGUAGCUGGUCUGAGAGGACGACCAGCCACACUGGGGCUGAGACACGGCCCAGACUCCUACGGGAGGCAGCAGUGGGGAAUUUUGGACAAUGGGCGCAAGCCUGAUCCAGCCAUGCCGCGUGCGGGAAGAAGGCCUUCGGGUUGUAAACCGCUUUUGUCGGGGAAGAAAUACGCCGGGCGAAUAACCUGGCGGGAUGACGGUACCCGAAGAAUAAGCACCGGCUAACUACGUGCCAGCAGCCGCCGCAGUAA
rnacentral:rRNA from 1 species